UACAGAAAUUGUGCUUGGAGACUAGGAUUAGGAGUACAUCGACUCCUAGAACUGUGAGUGAACUUAUUAUCGUCUUAAUUAUCUAGAGUAGUUUUAUACAAUUGUGUGAUUUUAUGGAAAAUGGGUUUAAAUGGUAAAUUGCUAUGUUUUAAGAGAAAUUGUGAUUUUAUAAAAUAAUUUUAUAAAUUUUCUGGAAAAUCGAAUAUUGGUUUUGAGAAUAGAGUAAUUGGAGACUGCCUGUUUGUGUUGUAAAUUUAUGGUUUUAAAUUGAAUGGCUUAUGACAAUAUAUGAGCAUGAAUGGUUAAACUGAUUUUGGUGUUAAAAUUAUUUGUACUGAGUAUUCAGUCUUGAAAGACUAGGUUACGAUAAAUUGCCAUGUCAUGCUAGAAUGAAUUUUAUUGAUUGGUGGAGUAUAUAUUAAUUAUUCACUACAGAGGGGGUUCCAUGGACCAGCCUAUUAGAGGGGCACGGUAAACUCCAUUAUAUUCUUACCUGGAACGGAGAGGCGCGUAGGGUAUCUCCUGGGGUAAAGCUUAGGGUUCACUUCAUGCCAAACCACCACGUGAAGAGGAACUCAGCCAACGCUAAGGAACGGCUGUAUUUUUCUCAAACUAAAAAUAUAUUUUAAGUGUAUAUGAAAUUUUAAUAGCCUUGGUGAACUCGGUUGGAUGCCCUGCGCAAGGUAUCACCGAGUAUGAGUUUUGGCACGAGCCAAAGUUUUAAGAAAUUCAUAAGCCAAGUUGAUUACUCGAUUCAUAUGGAUUGAUUUUAUUUGGUUGAAAUGAGUUGAAAGGUAAUGAAAUUACAGUAUGAUGACUUAUUUUAAUUGUCUCCAUUUAC
rnacentral:lncRNA from 1 species